AAAUGAAUUGACGGGGACUCGCACAAGCAGUGGAUCAUGUGGUUUAAUUCGACGAUAAACGAAGAACCUCACCAGGACUUGAAAUUCAGAUGAAAGCUCUAAGAAACUAGAGCCCUCUCACAAGGACAUCUGGACAGGUGAUGCAUGGCUGUCGUCAGUUCGUGGUUUGAAUUGUUCCCUUAAGUGGGGUAACGAACGCAACCCUCGUCGCGUGUUACAAGUGUCACGCGAGACUACCUAGUUUAUCUAGGAGGAAGUGAGGAUGACGCCAAGUCAGCAUGUCCCUUUGACGUCCUGGGCUACACACAUGAUACAAUGGCCAUUACAAAAGGUCGCGACGGAGUAAUCCUGAGCUAAUCCCAAAAAAUGGCCCCAGUUCGGAUUGAGGUCUGCAACUCGACCUCAUGAAGCCGGAAUUGCUAGUAAUCGCAGGUCAGCUAUACUGCGGUGAAUACGUUCUCGAGUCUUGUACACACCGCCCGU
rnacentral:rRNA from 1 species